UGGGGAAUAUUGGACAAUGGGCGAAAGCCUGAUCCAGCCAUGCCGCGUGUGUGAAGAAGGCCUUUUGGUUGUAAAGCACUUUAAGCGAGGAGGAGGCUACUUGGAUUAGUACUCUAGGAUAGUGGACGUUACUCGCAGAAUAAGCACCGGCUAACUCUGUGCCAGCAGCCGCGGUAAUACAGAGGGUGCGAGCGUUAAUCGGAUUUACUGGGCGUAAAGCGUGCGUAGGCGGCUUCUUAAGUCGGAUGUGAAAUCCCUGAGCUUAACUUAGGAAUUGCAUUCGAUACUGGGAAGCUAGAGUAUGGGAGAGGAUGGUAGAAUUCCAUGUGUAGCGGUGAAAUGCGUAGAGAUCUGGAGGAAUACCGAUGGCGAAGGCAGCCAUCUGGCCUAAUACUGACGCUGAGGUACGAAAGCAUGGGGAGCAAACAGG
rnacentral:rRNA from 1 species